AACCUCCGCAAUGUACGAAAGUGCGACGGGGGGAUCCCAAGUGUUAUGCUUAAAGGUAUGACUUUUCAUUAGUGUAAAAAGCUUUUAGAAUAAGAGCUGGGCAAGACCGGUGCCAGCCGCCGCGGUAACACCGGCAGCUCGAGUGGUAGCUGUUUUUAUUGGGCCUAAAGCGUUCGUAGCCGGUUUAAUAAGUCUUUGGUGAAAGCUUGUAGCUUAACUAUAAGAAUUGCUGGAGAUACUAUUGGACUUGAAGUCGGGAGAGGUUAGAGGUACUACCGGGGUAGGGGUGAAUCCUAUAAUCCUGGGAGGACCACCUGUGGCGAAGGCGUCUAACUGGAACGAUCUUGACGGUGAGUAACGAAAGCCAGGGGCGCGAACCGGAUUAGAUACCCGGGUAGUCCUGGCCGUAACGAUGUGGACUUGGUGUUGGAAUGGCUUUGAGUUGUUCCGGUGCCGAAGGGAGCUGUUAAGUCCACCGCCUGGGAAGUACGGUCGCAAGAUUGAAACUUAAAGGAAUU
rnacentral:rRNA from 1 species